GGGCCCGCACAAGCGGUGGAGCAUGUGGUUUAAUUCGAUGCAACGCGAAGAACCUUACCAGGUCUUGACAUCCAUGGAACCUUGAUGAAAGUUAAGGGUGCCUUCGGGAGCCAUGAGACAGGUGGUGCAUGGUUGUCGUCAGCUCGUGUCGUGAGAUGUUGGGUUAAGUCCCGCAACGAGCGCAACCCUUGCUAUUAGUUGCUAACAGGUAAGGCUGAGCACUCUAAUGGAACUGCCUGUGACAAGCAGGAGGAAGGUGGGGAUGACGUCAAAUCAUCAUGCCCUUUAUGAUCUGGGCUACACACGUGCUACAAUGGAUGGUACAGAGAGCAGCGAGGCCGCGAGGAAGAGCGAAUCUCAAAAAGCCAAUUCUCAGUUCGGAUUGCAGUCUGCAACUCGACUGCAUGAAGUCGGAAUCGCUAGUAAUCGCGAAUCAGCACGUCG
rnacentral:rRNA from 1 species